CCUCCUUCACUCACACUGUCUCUCUCAAAAAUAGACAUUAAAAAAAAUUUAGAAUAAACCGCGAUAUGUAUGUUAUACCUCGGCUUUGGGGUUUGGGGUGAUUUUUAUUUUUCUGCCUGUCUUUGUUUUCCAAUCUUUUUAUGAUAUUUGCUAAUAAUUAUAAAGACAUACUUAUUAAGUGCUUAGUCAAGCACUAUUCUAAAUGCUUUAUGUAUAUAAACUCAUUUAAUCUACACAACCUACUGAGGUUUGUGCCAUUAUUAUCCUCUUCUAAAGAUGACAAAAGAGGUACAGGGAGGUUAUGUAAUUUGCUCGAGAUUACACACAUCAUAAGUGGAGAAGGCACACCCCCUGUCCAUCACUCCCAUGUUCCAGGACAGAACGCAUGGGACAGCUAUCUGAGAUUUCAGAGAAGUAAAUGGUAGGGAGGAAGGAACCAGAAUUUGAAGUUCCAUGAAAACAGUGGUGGGCUUACCAUCCCCUCCCCCUAACUCCAUUAUCACCCAGAAUGCACUAAAAGGCCUCCCCAAACCUGGAAGUGUACAUCAGGUAUGAACUGAAAGAGUUCCUCUUGGAGCCCUCUGUUGCAGGUCUGAGGAGCAGGAAAGGGACUUCUAAGGGUCCGAGACGGGGAAAUCCGUUGCUUUUCUUUUUCCCUUCUCUUCCCUCAUUAGCCCCAGGCAGUACCACGGUGGUGUAGUUAUAGUAGCACAAUGACAGCAACAGUGACUACGCAGGCACUGAAAACUGAGGGAGAACUCCUUUGACCACAGAAGCUGUGGUCCCAAGAGUGGAAUCAAAUCCCUCUGCUUUUUUCUUUCUUUGUUCUCUUGAUGCUUAGCCCAGACAUAUAGUGGGAAAUGCUCAGCAAAGUAGAGAAGUUAAAGCCCCAGUUUUUUUUGGGCAAAGGAUUGGGAAAAGAAGAACGAGAGAAUCAGAGUGUCAGAUCACAGAGAGGAGGGAAAUCGAGAGUCCCAUAGAGUUGUGUGUGAACUCUUGGGCUCACCUCAAAGCUGCACAAGCAUGGAUCUGACCUUCAACAUCUUACCAAAGCUUUAUGAAACGAGCUACAGGGUGGACCACUGUCUAGGUCUGACUGACCACUGGGUGGCACACAUAAAGGACUGAUCUAGAUAGCACCACAAAGUUAAACUGACAUCAGAACCACAAUACAAAGAAGGUAGGUGGCUGCUUGAACCAAACCUGGUCGAUAGACUGCUAAAAUAAAAAACACUCUCACUAGGAUUUUAAUAGGAUCCAGGGGCUCAAAACGAUAUUCAAAAUAUCCAGGAUACAACAUAAAAUUACUCAGCCUACAAAGUACUCUCCAGGGAAAAGACAACCAACCCCAAGAUGACAGAAAUGUUGGAAUUUAAAGCAAAGACUUCAAAGCAGUUAGUAUAACUAUACUGGAAGAAGAAAGGGAGAAUGCUUUUGAAAUAAAUGGAAAGAUAGAAAGUUUUAGCAAAGAAAUAGAAGACAUAAGGAAGAACCAAGUGGAACUUUUAGAACUGAAAAAUAGGAGUAACCAAAAUAAAAUAUUCACUGGAGAGCAGAAUGGAGAUGACUUUGAAGAUAAUCAAUAUAAAUUAUGCAACCUAAACAACAAACAAAACCCGGUUUAAAAAAAAAAAAACCCACAGAACCUCAGAGACCUGCGGGAUAAGACCAAAUAUCUAGCAUUUGUGUCAACAGAGUCCCAGAAGGUGAGGAGAAAAAAUAUGAUUUAGAAAAAUUAUUGAAAGAAUUCAUGGCUAAAAUGUUUGGUCCCAAAUUUGGCAGAAACACACAGAUUCAAGAAGCUUGGUGAACGGCAAACAGAAUAUACUCAAAGAAACCUAUGACCGGACAUAAUAAUCAAAUUGCUGAAAAUCAAAGAUAUAGAAAAAUAUCCAAAGAACAUCUAGAAAAAAGAAUCCAUUUCCUAUAAGGAAUCAAUGACUCAGAUAACUGCAGAUUUCUCAUCAGAAACUAUGGAAUCCAGAGGGAGCUGGAACAACACUUAAAGUGCUGGAAGAAAAGUGUCAAGUCAGAAUUCUAUAUCCAAUGAAAAUGUCAAUCAGCAGUUAUAUAAAAUAAAGACAUUCUUAGGUGAAGGAAAGCAUAAGGAUUUGUCACUAGCAGAGCUGCUGUACAAGAAAUGCUAAAGAAAGUUCUUCAAACAGAAGAAAAAUGAUAACAGGAAACUGGGGACAUCAAGAAGGAGGAGCAACAGAAAUGCAGUGACAUAGGAGUUGGGGUUUGGAUGACCCUUGUAAUUGUUGCUAAGCUGUGUGGAAUCCUCUCCAACCUCAAGAUUCCGCUUCAGGAGGUCCGGGGUGGUGAUGCCCAUCUGCUACCACACUUGGUAACAUCCAGAGAAGCUCCAUGUGUCCAAAUGUCCUAGCUGCGGACACUCGGUUGGCCGCUUGGCUGGCGAACACUUACAUCUUGGAGCUUCCAGUGCAGCCCCACCUGGAUCCCACCCCUCUAAUCUGAAGACCCCAGUAAUGUCUAAGGAGAGAAAUAAAGACAACUUUUUUUUUUUUUUAAUCCCUAUCCCAACUGGAAUGGACUGGGACAAGGAAACCUUGACCCUUGCUGCUCCCUCAGCCGUUGGGAGGCCCCAUGCCCAGGACUGGGAGCAUCAGGGCAGGGCAGCUUCCGAAAGCUUUCCCAGGAACACUGUUUUCGGAUAGCGGGGGGAGCCUGUACUUGUUUGACUUCUGAGAUUCCUGGAUUCUUUUGGCCACAGGGUUGGUUCCCUUGACCCCGAUCAUGGAUCUUCACCAGCCCUAUGUAAUGAGAUUUGGCACGUGUCCUGGAAUAGGACGUCAAUGCAUGAUCGCUGCUCUCUACUUCCUCCCUCUGCUCGUUCAGCUACUAGACAGAUCCUCUUGAAUCUGUUCGUUCACAGAGGACAUGGGAAAGAUCCUCCCUUCCCUAAGAGGAACCAGAGCCUGGAGUUGUUUGUGUGUGUGUGUUGUUUUUUAAGUAAGCUCUACGCCCAACAUGGGGCUUAAACUCACAAC